AUGGGUUUUCAAGUCAACAUUGUCACCUUCUUGCUGCUCAGUGUCACAGGAUCCAGUGGAGAUAUUGUGCUGACCCAGUCUCCGGCUUCCAUGGCAUUUUCCCCAGGAGAGACAGUCAUCAUCAGCUGCAAGGCCAGCUCAACUGUAAGCACUUACACUGGUACCAACAGAAGCCAGGAGCCAGUCCAAAGCUCCUUAUUUAUGAAACAUCCAAGCUGGCCUCUGGGAUCCCUGCUUGGGUCAGUGGCAGUGGCUCGGGGACAGAUUUCUCUCUGACCAUCAGCAGCAUCCAGGCAGAAGAUGCUGUAAGCUAUCACUGUCAACAGUGGUGCAGCUCUGAACCCACAGUGUUAGAGACUGGAACAAAAACCUCCUACCUCUCAGGGCACAGCUGCCUCCCUUUCAGAGGCUAUUAUAAAACUGACCGAUAA